CGGGCCUGGGUCAGACUGUGGUGGGUAGCGGGUCCCGGGUUGCGGGUUGCAAGUUGCAAGCCGCAAGCCGCAGGCCCCAGGCAACUGCCUUCCCGGCGCCAUGUUCGGCUCCAGUCGCGGAGGCGUGCGCGGCGGGCAGGACCAGUUCAACUGGGAGGACGUGAAGACUGACAAGCAGCGGGAGAACUACCUGGGUGGGUGCGCGCGGUGGGCGGGCUCCGGGCUCCGGGAUCCCGGGCGGGCGCUGGACUUACAGCGUCUACGUCCGCAGGCAACUCGCUGAUGGCGCCCGUAGGCCGCUGGCAGAAGGGCCGCGACCUCACCUGGUACGCCAAGGGCCGGGCGCCGUGCGCGGGCCCGAGCCGCGAGGAGGAACUGGCAGCCGUGCGGGAGGCGGAGCGCGAGGCGCUGCUGGCCGCCCUUGGCUACAAGAACGUGAAGAAGCAACCCACGGGCCUGAGCAAGGAGGACUUCGCGGAGGUCUGCAAGCGGGAAGGAGGCGACCCCGAGGAGAAGGGCGUGGACCGGCUGCUGGGGCUGGGGAGCGCCAGUGGCUCCGUGGGCCGCGUGGCGAUGUCCCGAGAGGAUAAGGAGGCCGCCAAACUGGGGCUGUCUGUGUUCACGGUAAUCCCCCGCCCCGCCUGACCGCAGCAGGGGCCAACGAGUGGGGCGGGGCGGGGGCACUGAACGGAGCUCCCCGGGGCGCUGCGGAGCGUGGUGUGGGGCCGGCCCGCAGACUCCUCCGCAGAGCUCUCUUCUCCUGCAGCAUCACCGCGUAGAGAGCGGCGGGCCCGGGACCUCGGCAGCCUCGGCCAGGAGGAAGCCGCGGGCGGAGGAUCAGAGGGAAAGCAGUUGUGAGAGCCACAGGAAAAGCAAGAAGGAGAAGAAGAAAAAGAAAAAGAGAAAACACAAGAAACAGAAGAAGAAGAAAGACAAAGAACACAGGCGGCCAGCUGAGGCCACCUCCUCUCCCACAUCUCCUGAGAGGUAUGCCCUGGUCCAUGUCUGCCUCUUGGGGGUGGGGGCCUGGUUGACUCCUUCCGAGUGACUGCCAUUGGUCUCCCCAGGCCCAGGUACCACCACGACUCCGACUCCAACUCCCCCUGCUGUAAGAGGAGGAAGCGGGGACACAGUGGGGACAGGAGGAGCCCGUCGCGCAGGUGGCAUGACAGAGGCUCUGAGGCCUGAUGGCUGGACCCUGCUCACUGCUAUUGUGGGACCCUGAACCCUCUCUUCACCUUGCUUGCCUCCUGCCUCGGAAGCUCCUCGGGUGUGGGUGAAGCCCGAGGCUGCUCCUGUGGAAGUGGCUCUGGGCACCAGCCUGUGGGGCUAAAGACUUGACAGCUAGCUCUGGAGCAGCCAGCUUCCUGGAAAACCUCCAGGUUUCGCAUAGCAGGGGAUGGCCCCUGGCUUGCCUUGCGAAGGUGAACCUGCCCAGACGUACCAGUAGAGGCUGGACUCCCUCUGUCCUGCCCAUGGCUGCAGCAGCCAUGGGCCUAUGAGCGGUCUAACUGUGGCCAAGUAUGGUGACCUCUAUUUUUCUUUAUAUUGACUCUUUGUAUUUCAAUAAACAUAUUUUAAAAGGAA
rnacentral:sRNA from 1 species